UACGUAGGGCGCAAGCGUUGUCCGGAAUUAUUGGGCGUAAAGAGCUCGUAGGCGGUCUGUUACGUCCGCUGUGAAAACCCAGGGCUUAACCCUGGGCUUGCAGUGGAUACGGGUAGACUAGAGGCAGGUAGGGGAGAAUGGAAUUCCCGGUGUAGCGGUGAAAUGCGCAGAUAUCGGGAGGAACACCGGUGGCGAAGGCAAUCCCCUGGGCCUGCACUGACGCUCAUGCACGAAAGCGUGGGGAGCAAACAGG
rnacentral:rRNA from 1 species